AAUGAACGCUGGCGGCAUGCCUUACACAUGCAAGUCGAACGGCAGCAUGACCUAGCUUGCUAGGUUGAUGGCGAGUGGCGAACGGGUGAGUAAUGCAUCGGAACGUGCCUUUUAGUGGGGGAUAACGUAGCGAAAGUUACGCUAAUACCGCAUAUUCUCUGAGGAGGAAAGCAGGGGACCUUCGGGCCUUGCGCUAGAAGAGCGGCCGAUGUCGGAUUAGCUAGUUGGUGAGGUAAAGGCUCACCAAGGCAACGAUCCGUAGCGGGUCUGAGAGGAUGAUCCGCCACACUGGGACUGAGACACGGCCCAGACUCCUACGGGAGGCAGCAGUGGGGAAUUUUGGACAAUGGGCGCAAGCCUGAUCCAGCCAUGCCGCGUGAGUGAAGAAGGCCUUCGGGUUGUAAAGCUCUUUCGGCUGGGAAGAAAUCGCACCCUCUAAUAGAGGGUGUGGAUGACGGUACCAGCAUAAGAAGCACCGGCUAACUACGUG
rnacentral:rRNA from 1 species